rnacentral:lncRNA from 13 species
CCUUACUCUGUGAGAUCCCUCAGCUCUUAGGGGAAGCCAGCUGCGGUGUCAAGAGGACACGCAAGCAGCCCUACAGUUUCUUGGGAUAGAGAGACCCUCCCUCAGUCAUCAGUUGAAACAGCCAAGCAACUCUUCUGCAGUGUGGAUCCAGGGGACAGAGUGACUCAUAAUCCUUCAGUGGUCAAGAAUAAAAUUCUGCAAUGUGGCAGGAUUUCUAACAGAAUGAAAGCCAAGAAACACUGAAAACACAGUUUUGAGAUUUCCGGUUUAAUUUCCAGGACAAAGAGAUUCAUUGUCAGUUUUUAUCUCUGCUACAUAGAUACCUGGAUAAACAAAAGCUGUCGACCUCUGCUGGGUCA